rnacentral:lncRNA from 1 species
AAUUUCUAUAUUUCAAAUAGGAUUGAUGCCAGGCUAGGAUAUCAUCAUCCAAAUUCAUAGCAACUAAUCUUGCUCUCUGAUUGAGAGGCGUUUCAUCCUCGAAAAAUUACUGACCGAUCCUAUAUAACCAUGUUGUGAGAUUUUCCCCAUUGAAUUGAGGAACAACAAGUUAUUACCACGAUUAGAGGUUACACAAUAAGGAUUAGGUCCUAAAAUGCC